rnacentral:rRNA from 1 species
AUUGAACGCUGGCGGCAGGCUUAACACAUGCAAGUCGAGCGGGGGAGGUUACUUCGGUAACUGACCUAGCGGCGGACGGGUGAGUAAUGCUUAGGAAUCUGCCUAUUAGUGGGGGACAACAUUCCGAAAGGAAUGCUAAUACCGCAUACGUCCUACGGGGGAAAGCAGGGGAUCUUCGGACCUUGCGCUAAGAGAUGAGCCUAAGUCGGAUUAGCUAGUUGGUGGGGUAAAGGCCUACCAAGGCGACGAUCUGGAGCGGGUCUGAGAGAAUGAGCCGCAGCACUGGGAGUGAGACACGGCCCAGACUCAUACGGAGGGCAGCAGUGGGGAAUAUUGGACAAUGGGCGCAAGCCUGUUCCAGCCAUGCCGCGUGUGUGAAGAAGGCCUUUUGGUUGUAAAGCACUUUAAGCGAGGAGGAGGCUCCUUUAGUUAAUACCUAAAGAGAGUGGACGUUACUCGCAGAAUAAGCACCGGCUAACUCUAUGCCAGCCGCCGCGGUAAUAC